GGUUUUAUUGUGUAGUUGGUUAUGACACCAGUCUAACACACUGGUGGUCUCAGUUCAACCGCAGCUGAUAUUA